UACGGGGGGGGCAAGCGUUGUUCGGAAUUACUGGGCGUAAAGGGCUCGUAGGCGGCCCAACUAAGUCAGACGUGAAAUCCCUCGGCUUAACCGGGGAACUGCGUCUGAUACUGGAUGGCUUGAGAUUGGGAGAGGGAUGCGGAAUUCCAGGUGUAGCGGUGAAAUGACGUAGAUAUCUGGAGGAACACCGGUGGCGAAGGCGACAUCCUGGACCAACACUGACGCUGAGGAGCGAAAGCCAGGGGGAGCAAACGGGG
rnacentral:rRNA from 1 species